UGCUGUAGUUGAUAUAAUGAA
ensembl:piRNA 21ur-4967 ncRNA